rnacentral:rRNA from 1 species
UGGCAGACGGGUGAGUAACGCGUGGGAAUCUACCUAGUUCUGCGGAACAACAGUUGGAAACGACUGCUAAUACCGCAUACGCCCUACGGGGGAAAGAUUUAUCGGAAUUAGAUGAGCCCGCGUAAGAUUAGCUAGUUGGUGGGGUAAUGGCCUACCAAGGCGACGAUCUUUAGCUGGUCUGAGAGGAUGAUCAGCCACACUGGGACUGAGACACGGCCCAGACUCCUACGGGAGGCAGCAGUGGGGAAUAUUGGACAAUGGGCGCAAGCCUGAUCCAGCCAUGCCGCGUGAGUGAUGAAGGCCUUAGGGUUGUAAAGCUCUUUCAGUGGGGAAGAUAAUGACGGUACCCACAGAAGAAGCCCCGGCUAACUUCGUGCCAGCAGCCGCGGUAAUACGAAGGGGGCUAGCGUUGUUCGGAUUUACUGGGCGUAAAGCGCACGUAGGCGGAUUGUUAAGUGAGGGGUGAAAUCCUGGAGCUCAACUCCAGAACUGCCUUUCAUAC